CACCAUCCCUGGAGGUGUUCAAGAAGUACCUAGAUGCGCCACUGAGGGACGUGGCAUGGUAGUGGCAGUUCAACUAAAUGUUCUUAGAAGUAUUUUCCAACCUUAAUGAUACUAUGAUUCUAUGUUUCUAUGAUUCCUGGGGAGGGAAUAGCCAGUCUCACCAAACAAAGGAAUUCUACUGUUUCUCCUGUAGCUUCUCCAGCGUAUUUCCCUAAUGGAGAGUUUAGAAAAACCUGACCCCUAGUCAUACCGUGCCACUAAUGCUGCAGCUCCAAGCUUGUGGAACCUGAGGUGGAGCAAGCAAGUGCCAGUAAGGUUUGUCUGCAUGCAGCUCUCCUGAAUUCAAUCAAAUUCAUCUGAACUUUUUCAAAUUCCACUGGAGGAGGAGACAGGAGAUAACUCAGGGAAAGCCUAAAAGAGUAGGACCUGUCAUGCAGCCUCCUUAACUAUGUCGUUCCUAACUGCAUUUGUUACAGUCUUAGCCAUGAUCUUGCCCAAUCCCAGCUGCGUACACCUGUGUGCUCACUUAGAGCCCGUUUUUUGCACCUAUGUGAAGCCUACUCAGAUUUUGAAUACGUAUGAGUUUUGCAACAAUUUACAUUUUCUGUAUUGGUGUAACUUUAGAUAUUUAGUUUCAGCUCUGGCUCAACAUAGUACAUCAGACGUUUUAAAGAUAUAUUUUUUUUUUCCAUAAGAGGAAAAGUAAUUUUAAAGUUGGGUAAAGACAAGGGGAGGUAAGGUGAUAUGGGCCGGUUUGUUUAGCAAUAGGGAUCUGUUUAUUAGUUUAAGGACCAACAUAUUAGUUUAGCAAAAGGAAUCAAUGAAUGCUAAUUCUAAAACUUUCCUUUUCGCUUUUCUUGGUGUGUGAGCAGCCCUGUUUUCUCUUAAUUCUGCUUCACAAGAAGCACCAGAGACAUAAUAGACUGCUUAUCUUUGCAUUUCAUGAGGUGCUAGGAUGUUUUCCUCAUAUUUUCACAUAUAUGGUUUUGGAAAUUGCUGAUUAUGGGUUAACAACCAAUAGAAAUGUGCCAAACAGGGGAAAAACGGCUGAAGGUCAGCUAAAAGUCUCAAUGAUGAAGCUGAUGGUGGAAAAGUGGGGAUAAAGUAAGUGGGCAUAUGACCACCCUAAAUGCAACCAUGCAUGCCCAGAGGGAUAUUAGCAUAUGUUAAUGUGUUCUUGGAAAAGAAUGAAUACGUAUGUCAGUGUACUGCAUAUGCAUGUCUUAACUAUUUAACUGUAGAACCUGAACUCUGAGAGAGUGCGCUUGUUCGUCAAGUUGUCCAAUUCAUAUCAUGAGGAAUAAAGGAAAGGCACUUUCUAACACUACAUUGGAGUUAGAGGGUUUUCUUCCCAGAUAUUGGAUGACAAGGUAUCUACCUUGAGGAAAGAUAUUAUGAAGACCUACUUACAGAUGCUCUAGUUUUUUGGCCAUAUUUUGAUAAUUAGCAUGGAAACCAUGGACCUGAUUUGAGCUAAGCUGUUUGAUCACGUUUUGGAUGACAAGCUGCCCUUUAGCUUGUGUAAAUACGUGAUAUAACUCAUCACCAUUUUCAGUAUAAACCAGCAAGUUCAUCUAAACAUAUCAGUUUUGGUGAAGCCAAAUGUCUUUAUUGCCUAGGGUGAUUUUUUUUAAACUUAUUUCUAAAACUGUGGGAUUUCCAAUUAAAAAAAAAAAUCCCAAAUGUAUUUAUGAAUAAAAAAGGAUAAACACAGUGAUUGCGGAUGCACAUUUUAAUUAACUGGAAAAUCUCUUCUUCUUUUUGUUGAUCCCCUAUUUCCUUCUUUUCCAAGGCUCAUGUGUGAUGAUUGUAGAAAGAUGAAUAAUGUUUUAGUCAUACAACCUUCAUUAAAGCUAUUGAAAAUGUGCUGUUAAUUCCCUGAGUUCAACUUUGAAAACACGAAAGUUACUGUUUAUCCCUGUAUCUAAG
ensembl:lncRNA